rnacentral:lncRNA from 1 species
AGAAAUUUACUCAAACUCAUUUAUCUUUCAAUGGGGAGAGAUUGCAUGUAUGCAUGCUUUCAGGGGGAGUGCAUAUGUUCAGGGGGAGUUUUGUGAGCUUUUUAUGCUCUUGUGCUCUUUUGCCGAUUGUGUUGAGCUUUUUAUCUCUUCUUGAGUAGCCGACGGUUGAUUUGAGCUUGUGAUCUUCACAUGAUUGUUGUUUAGCACUUUUUCUGUCUUUUCUUGAGGGAUCAUGUGAUUUUAUCUCAGUUGUGUAGAGCCGUUGCCCUUGUCUUGGGGGACGAAGAUUUUCUAUUUUGAGUUUCAUGUUUUCUUUUCCAAACUAUGAAUUUGUCUUGGGUGUUAUCAAUGCACUCAUCAAGGGGGAGAUUGAGGACCAAUGGUGGUCACCCUUGGAUGAUCAGUGAUUGACAACGUUGUGUUG